UAAGAAGGGGGCUAGCGUUGUUCGGAAUCACUGGGCGUAAAGCGCACGCAGGCGGAACGAUAAGUCGGGGGUGAAAGCCCGGGGCUCAACCUCGGAAUUGCCUUCGAUACUGUCGGUCUCGAGUCCGGGAGAGGUGAGUGGAAUUCCUAGUGUAGAGGUGAAAUUCGUAGAUAUUAGGAAGAACACCAGUGGCGAAGGCGGCUCACUGGACCGGUACUGACGCUCAGGUGCGAAAGCGUGGGGAGCAAACAGG
rnacentral:rRNA from 1 species